CCUACGGGUGGCAGCAGUGAGGAAUAUUGGUCAAUGGGCUGACGCCUGAACCAGCCAAGUCGCGUGAGGGAAGACUGCCCGAUGGGUUGUAAACCUCUUUUGUCAGGGAGCAACGCCGGCUACGUGUAGACGGACUGAGAGUACCUGAAGAAAAAGCAGCGGCUAACUCCGGGCCAGCAGCCGCGGUAAUACGGAGGAUGCGAGCGUAAGCCGGAUUGCUUGGGUUUAAAGGGUGCGUAGGCGGAAUGCCAAGUCAGCGGGAAAAUCGCGGGGCUCAACCUCGCUCCGCCGUUGAAACUGGCGUUCUUGAGUGGGCGAGAAGUAUGCGGAAUGCGUGGUGUCGCGG
rnacentral:rRNA from 1 species